UCAUUAGGUUGUAAGCAAACU
ensembl:piRNA 21ur-3415 ncRNA